GACGAACGCUGGCGGCAUGCCUAAUACAUGCAAGUCGAACGCUGAAGCACUCUGCUUGCAGAGUGCGGAUGAGUGGCGAACGGGUGAGUAACACGUGGGAAAUCUGCCUAGGAGUGGGGGAUAACAUUCGGAAACGGAUGCUAAUACCGCAUAUCUUCUGGAACCGCAUGGUUCUUGAACGAAAGACGGCUUCGGCUGUCGCUCUUAGAUGAUCCCGCGGCGUAUUAGUUAGUUGGUGGGGUAAAGGCCUACCAAGACAAUGAUACGUAGCCGACCUGAGAGGGUGAUCGGCCACACUGGGACUGAGACACGGCCCAGACUCCUACGGGAGGCAGCAGUAGGGAAUCUUCCACAAUGGACGAAAGUCUGAUGGAGCAAUGCCGCGUGAAUGAAGAAGGUCUUCGGAUCGUAAAGUUCUGUUAUUAGAGAAGAACAAGUCGAGGAGUAACUGUCUCGACUUUGACGGUACCUAACCAGAAAGUCACGGCUAACUACGUGCCAGCAGCCGCGGUAAUACGUAGGUGACGAGCGUUGUCCGGAAUUAUUGGGC
rnacentral:rRNA from 1 species